ACUGCUCAGUAACACGUGGGUAACCUACUCUCAGGUCGGGAAUAACUCCGGGAAACUGGAACUAAUACCCGCUAGAUACGGAUUUCUGGAAUGUGUUUGUAUCGAAAGCUCCGGCGCCUGAGAAUGGGCCCGCGGCUGAUUAGGUUGUUGGUGAGGUAAUGGCUCACCAAGCCUGCGAUCGGUACGGGCAGUGAGAGCUGGAGCCCGGAGAUGGGGACUGAGACAAGGCCCCAGGCCCUACGGGGCGCAGCAGGUGCGAAAACUCGUCAAUGCUCGAAAGAGUGAACGGGGAACCCCAAGUGCCCUUGUAAUGCAAGGGCUUUUCUCUGGUGUAAGGAGCCAGAGGAAUAAGGGCUGGGUAAGACUGGUGCCAGCCGCCGCGGUAAUACCAGCAGCCCGAGUGGUCGCUGUUUUUAUUGGGCCUAAAGCGUCCGUAGCCGGACAGGUAAGUCUCUAGGUAAAUCUUACGUUCAAGCGUAAGGCUUCUGGAGAUACUGCCUGUCUUGAGGCCGGGAGAGGUUGGAGGUACUCCCGGGGUAGGGGUAAAAUCCUGUAAUCCUGGGGGGACCACCGGUGGCGAAGGCGUCCAACUGGAACGGCCCUGACGGUGAGGGACGAAACCCAGGGGAGCGAGCCGGAUUAGAUACCCGGGUAGUCCCAGCCGUAAACGAUGCAGGCUAGGUGUUGGAUUAGCUACGAGCCAAUCCAGUGCCGCAAGGAAGCCAUUAAGCCUGCCGCCUGGGGAGUACGGUCGCAAGACUGAAACUUAAAGGAAUUGGCGGGGGAGCAC
rnacentral:rRNA from 1 species